rnacentral:rRNA from 1 species
UACGAAGGGGGCAAGCGUUGUUCGGAAUUACUGGGCGUAAAGGGCGCGUAGGCGGCUUAUCAAGUCAGGCGUGAAAUUCCCGGGCCCAACCUGGGGGCUGCGCUUGAUACUGAUGAGCUUGAAUGCGGGAGAGGAUAGUGGAAUUCCCAGUGUAGAGGUGAAAUUCGUAGAUAUUGGGAAGAACACCGGUGGCGAAGGCGGCUAUCUGGCCCGUAAUUGACGCUGAGGCGCGAAAGCGUGGGGAGCAAACAGG